CGUAUUUAGCGGGUAAAAUGCUAACGUGGGGCUCGGUGUGUGGAUAAGGACUGGGGAUAAGAGUUAGCUUAGCUAGCUAGCUAGUCUGGAGAGCGUUUUUAGCGGGUAAAAUGCUAACGUGGGGCUCGGUGUGUGGAUAAGGACUGGGGAUAAGAGUUAACUUAGCUAGCUAGCUAGUCUGGAGAGCGUUUUUAGCGGGCAAAAUGCUAACGUGGGGGCUUGGUGUGUGGAUAAGGACUGGGGAUAAGAGUUAACUUAGCUAGCUAGCUAGUCUGGAGAGCAUAUUUAGCGGGCAAAAUGCUAACGUGGGGGCUUGGUGUGUGGAUAAGGACUGGGGAUAAGAGUUAACUUAGCUAGCUAGCUAGUCUGGAGAGCAUAUUUAGCGGGCAAAAUGCUAACGUGGGGGCUUGGUGUGUGGAUAAGGACUGGGGAUAAGAGUUAACUUAGCUAGCUAGCUAGCUAGUCUGGAGAGCGUUUUUAGCGGGUAAAUUGCUAACGUGGGGGCUCAGUGUGUGGAUAAGGACUGGGGAUAAUAGAGUUAGCUAACCUUGCUAGUUUUGUUUUGUAUUUGUUCAAAAUUUAACUUGCCUGUUGACCAUAUUUUUAGAUCCACUUAGCGAUUUAGUUAUUUCACACUGUUUUGAGUUGUGCACUUGUUCAUUUAAAUAUCAAAGAGGAGUUCCAGCGCAUAACUAACGUUACUUUGCAUCUGGAGUCAAAAUUCAUGUUAAAGCUUGACCAGUAUACGUUACACAAAAACUUCUCUAUCUUCAGUGCCAAGGCCGGAGCGUCAGGAAGAAGAAUGCAAGGCAUAAUGAGCUGUUUGGUCAAGGGAGCAGUCACCACUGAGCCUGGUGGAGUAUGUGGGGGGAACAUGGCCUGCUCGCAGAACACUUUGAUGAGGGUGAGGUCAAUAUUUCACAGCACAUCAUGAAGAUCUUCACAGUGAAGGAAGAGGGUGCAACAGAGGAUGAAGGUACCGUCUUUGAGGGUCAAGAGGUACUGGCUGGUCUUGGAAAUGUCCCACAGGCAUGUGCUGCACUUCUGGGGUUCAUAUAUGCCUUGAAUUUGCAGUACCCUAAACCACUGACAUACACAUUGGAAGUGUUUCAGAAGCUUUUUAUGGAACAGGAUGGACUGAAACUUUCUCCCAAGGUGCUGUCUCUUAAAACAACAGCUGUUAAUUAAGCCUUGCUACCUCGAAUAGGCUUGAAGGAGAACGCUGGUGUAAAGUUGACUUGGUGUAAUAAAACAUGAUAAUUUUUUUUUUACUAAAACCUGCCAAUAAAUGCAAAAGUGGUUACAAGUC